AUUGAACGCUGGCGGCAUGCUUUACACAUGCAAGUCGAACGGUAACAGGCCGCAAGGUGCUGACGAGUGGCGAACGGGUGAGUAAUGCAUCGGAACGUGCCCAGUCGUGGGGGAUAACUACUCGAACGAGUAGCUAAUACCGCAUACGAUCUAUGGAUGAAAGCGGGGGACCGUAAGGCCUCGCGCGAUUGGAGCGGCCGAUGUCAGAUUAGGUAGUUGGUGGGGUAAAGGCCCACCAAGCCAACGAUCUGUAGCUGGUCUGAGAGGACGACCAGCCACACUGGGACUGAGACACGGCCCAGACUCCUACGGGAGGCAGCAGUGGGGAAUUUUGGACAAUGGGCGCAAGCCUGAUCCAGCAAUGCCGCGUGCAGGAAGAAGGCCUUCGGGUUGUAAACUGCUUUUGUACGGAACGAAACGGCUCUGGUUAAUACCCGGGGCUAAUGACGGCACCGUAAGAAUAAGCACCGGCUAACUACGUG
rnacentral:rRNA from 1 species